GAUCCUUCGGGAUUAGUGGCGCACGGGUGCGGAACACGUGGGAAUAUACCCUUAGGUAGGGAAUAAUGUCUGGAAACGGGCACUAAUACCCUAUAAUGACUUCGGUCCAAAGAUUUAUCGCCUAAGGAUUAGCCCGCGUCUGAUUAGAUAGUUGGUGAGGUAAUGGCUCACCAAGUCUACGAUCAGUAGGGGGUCUGAGAGGAUGAUCCCCCACACUGGAACUGAGACACGGUCCAGACUCCUACGGGAGGCAGCAGUGAGGAAUAUUGCACAAUGGAGGAAACUCUGAUGCAGCCAUGCCGCGUGAGUGAAGAAGGCCUUAGGGUUGUAAAGCUCUUUCAAUAGUGAAGAUAAUGACGGUAGCUAUAGAAGAAGCCCCGGCUAAAUUCGUGCCAGCAGCCGCGGUAAUACGAAUGGGGCAAGCGUUGUUCGGAAUCACUGGGCUUAAAGCGUGCGCAGGCGGACUUGAAAGUCAGAAGUGAAAUCCCAGGGCUCAACCCUGGAACUGCUUUUGAAACUCCAAGUCUAGAAUCCGGUAGAGGUCAGGGGAAUUCCUAGUGUAGAGGUGAAAUUCGCAGAUAUUAGGAGGAACACCAGUGGCGUAGGCGCCUGACUG
rnacentral:rRNA from 1 species